rnacentral:misc_RNA from 1 species
GUUUUUUGUCAGGUUUCGAUUUUGUUUGGGUGGAUUAAGUCGCAGUACCCGGUCAGAGUCUCGGAGAGAACCGUCUGAAAGUACUCACAGUCAAAAUUCAUGUAAUGGUGUUUCAGAAAAUCACAGGACGCUUGCUUUUGGCGAAAGUUCAUUGCGACUAAAACAAUUAUAGGAAAGAAAUUCUCUCACGGAAAAGAUUUGUAGUCGUUGAAAAGAAAAAAAUAAGAACGAGCGAUGGGCCCACGUUCUUCGACCAAGAGGAAGACGUUGGACGUUACGGAUUGCCUCAUGAAAUGUUACAAUUACAAGUUGAAGACAAAGAAAUCCGGCUUGGCGACGACAUCCAUCCGGAGGAGGCGAAGUUUCCUCGAUUUCAAAAAAUUCCUCCUGCUCGUCCAACUAAGGAAAAUCGAGAGCUUACAAUGGAAGCUGUCGCAAAGACUGUGAAUAUUUCCACGUUUUCUGAUUGUUUGCAUAAUACAUGUUAAUACAUAAACGCUAUUUUCAUUCAAAACAAAAGUUUUGGUUUAAAUAUGUUUUUAUGAUAUUUCAAUGUAAACAAUGCUUAUUUGUAUCAUAUGUAAAUUAACAAAAUAUUCUGAUGAUGUAUUAUUUAUUGUAUCUUACAUAUUUUCGUAUCUUGUAAUAUUAGUUUGAAAUAUAUUACUUCAGUUAAU